CCUGUAAAAGGUUGGAGCAAACGCUAUCCUUUUUCUUGCUAUCGCUUUGGCGCGGUUUUGAUUUACCCUCUUUUGUACAGCCAUGACUGUAUGUAAAACCCUAGUUCGCACAUCAAUCUCUUCUCUACGACACAACCUAAUCAAGAGAAGAAAUCGAUUAGCGGAUACUUCAUCUAAUCUUUGUUUAACAUCAUUUCUUUCUCAAAUUCGAGGGUUAGGAUUUGAUUCAAGGAAUGCUUCUUCUUGUUCUUUUACUACAAGGUCUUACGGUUCUAGUAUUUCAGCAAUCUCACCAGAAACUACUGAUUUCUUUGAUAAAACCGGAAAAGAUACGGUGGGAGAGUUACUUAGGAACCGGAAUGGUGUUGCCAGAUUUAUGAAAAUGGAGCGAAAAAAUGAAAAUGAUGACCCAAGUCGUUGGUUUCCUUAUAUUGAUAUGUUCAAGUCUGGGAGUUUAUGUUUAACUAGUAAUGAAAUAAUGGAAGCUCUUGAUGGUAUGAUAAUGGAUGUGAGAAAGGAAAGGAUUAGAAAUGUUGUGCAGGAUAGAAGUUAUUCUGUUUGUUUGGUAGUUGAAGGUUUAAGUGAUUUUGGGAAUGUUUCGGCCAUUUUUCGGUCAGCUGAUGCUUUAGGAUUUCAAUCAGUUCAUGUGGUUUCUUGCGAUAACUCGAAAAGAUAUAAAGACAAUCGUCAUGUUAGCAUGGGUGCCGAGAAAUGGUUGGAUAUUGAAGUUUGGAACUCUACCAAAGAGUGCUUUAGUGUACUGAAAUCACGUGGUUAUCGCAUUGCUACAACACACUUGUCAAGUGAUGCGGUUUCCAUCUAUGACAUGGACUGGUCUUGCCCAACUGCAAUAGUUGUCGGAAAUGAAAAUACGGGCAUAAGCGAAGAGGCCCUGGAAUUGUCUGACUUGCACUGUAGUGUUCCUAUGAAGGGCAUGGUGGACUCGUUCAAUGUUUCAGUUGCUUCAGGCAUCCUCAUGCACCAUGCAGUUUGUGAUAGGACUAAUCGCCUGGGUGUUCACGGUGAUCUAACGCCAAGUGAAAGCCAAAUCCUACUCGCAGAGUUCUCCUUGCGGCAUAGUCAGACAGCAGUCAGCGUAGCUCAUGAGUAUGCAAAACGAAAGCAGGCGCUACUAUCGCCGAAGCUCUGACUGGGGAACGUUUGUUAUCUAAGUACAAUUGGUUUCUGCAAUUACACAUCUUUCAGAUGGAAAAUACAGGCAGCACGCAAGGGAAACCACAUGACUGACCGUUGAUUCCAACAUUCAGCAAGAUCUUCUUAAGAAAGGGUGACCGGAGAACACAAGUGGUGGUUCUUUCUGCUACCAAAACCACCACAUGUGGUUUCCAGUAUCACACUCCUUUGGCCUUUGGGUAUGAAACUCAGUUAGAUUCUUAAAAUCCCUCCUUUGGGAUACAAUUAUAACUCAGUCAAGAGUAUUAAGUUGUCAUUUUUUUAGUGGCAUUCAUUAUGUCGACAUUUUCUCUUUGCUAUAUCAUGUCGUCAUCCGUGGAGAUA